UACGUAGGUGGCAAGCGUUGUUCGGAUUCAUUGGGCGUAAAGGGUGCGUAGGCGGUCGUGCAAGUCGGAUGUGAAAUCUCAGGGCUCAACCCUGAAACUGCAUUCGAUACUGCGUGGCUAGAGUGCUGGAGAGGAGACUGGAAUUUACGGUGUAGCAGUGAAAUGCGUAGAUAUCGUAAGGAAGACCAGUGGCGAAGGCGGAUCUCUGGACAGUUCCUGACACUGAGGCACGAAGGCCAGGGGAGCAAACGGG
rnacentral:rRNA from 1 species